GACAGAGGGGGCAAGCGUUGCUCGGAAUCACUGGGCGUAAAGGGCAUGCAGGCGGGUCGGACGCGUUUUUGUGUGACAGCGGUGGCUCAACUACCCGAGCAUGCGAAAGACGGUCGACUUGAGGACUCGAGUAGGGACACGGAAUUCCGGGUUGGAGGGUGGUGAAAUGGCGUAGAGAUCCGGAGGAACCACCGAAGGCGAAGGCAGUGUCCUGGCGAGUGACUGACGCGUGAGGUGCGAAAGCCAGGGGAGCGAACGGG
rnacentral:rRNA from 1 species